ACAAAUGUUUUAUUAAGUUGUUCCUAGGAAUGCACAUGGUCUUGCUCUUUUUACUGAAUCAUUGGUAGUUGACUCUUUUUACUGAAUUUUUUAUGUUCUUGAUCAGUAACCUCUGCAUAUUCUAGAACGUAUAUGAUAAAAGAAUUUGUUAUUUUUGAAAGGUGUUCUCACAGGCCAUGUUAUAUCUUGAAAUACAAUACACGCCAUAACUUGCAUGUUGUUUUGUGAUUCUUGCACAAUUAGCAGAGUGAUUGCUCUAUUUUCGAAGAUAUCUCUUCAGGUAGCUGUUCGUGUUAGGAGUUAGGACCAAUGACAUUCAUACUAUUAUAUCUCUUUCUUGUAUAACAGGAUCUGUGCAUUAUUUUCCUAAGGUUAUAAUGGUUUCAGCUAAUUGCUUUUACAAAUGGGGUAACAUUAGGAAAUCACCCCUUGAGUAGGGUUAUUGCAUUUUCAUGUAUGUUGAAUUGAUUACAACAUAACAAUGAGGUUGCAACAAAAGUCUCAAACCAGGGCUAUGUGGUACAGUGCUCAGGGCUCCCAGAAUAAUCGCAUCACAAGAGGCAUUUGAAGGUCGGAAACAUGUGCAUACUGCAGUUUGCAUAAGCAGCAGACCUAACGAAUUGGUUGUAGGGUUGAGAUGUCAACUACCAAAACAGAGGAGAAGGUUCCGUUUCGUCCAUCCUUAGGUUGUCCCGAAACUUUGAUCCCGCCUCCGCCUUGGCGAGAUCUCCGCCUCUGCAUUCGCCUAACCUCUCGCGCCGCCAGCGCCAUCUCCACCUCCGCCGCCUACUCUGCCGCCCAGAACGCCCUUGUGUGCAUCACUGAGGCCCUUGCGUGCCUACACGCCCUUCACGCUGCCCACAACUCCACCAUGCUCCGCCUCUUGGAGGCUGCCCAUCUGGGCAAUGAGGUGCCGAUGCUGCGGGAUGGGGACACAGAUCCCAAACGCACCGGCUUCAUCUUCGGCGGCCGCAUGCUCAAUGACGACCCUGCCACGUCCGGCAGCAGGCUUGACUCAAGAGCAAUGCCAAGGUGCUCUCCGCCCUUGCCUCCCCUGAUUGUGGUAAGGCCAUUACCGCCUGCUCAGGAGGAGCAUACCAGUAGGCUUGUCAGGAUGGUAUGGCGGAUGGGUGGUGUGUGUGUGUCGGUCAGCACCGGGGAAUUAUCUGCAUAGACGAGAUUGUUUUAGGUUUUUUUAAAAUUAGCUAUCAUGUCUCAACUGCAGUUAAGUAUGUGUUCUCUCUUCUACCUUUCGAGGCUGAUCUUUCCUCGGUUGUACAGGUUAAUUCAAGAGCAUCGCUUGCACUCUCGAGUACGUUUGGACGGAUUUGUGUAACCAAGCUAAGGAUCACCAAGGUGAGCACGGUUUUUUCUCCCGUAUGGAUGAAAUUAUGUCGUGUUUGUUGUAUUGCUCAUAGCACCUGAUUACUCUGUCCACAGGCUCAUGAGAAUUUUGCAGCGUCAUCAUAUUUGUUCAGUAGCAUGAUAUUUCUGAAUGGCAUGAUUAGUUUCCCCAAUUUCUGAUUCUAGAUCCUAUGUUAUCUACUACAUUAAAAAUUUGUUUCGUCCCGCUAAAAACUUAAACUGAAAUUCUUCAGUUUGUAGGAAAUUUAUUUCAUGAUAUAUAUAUAUAGAUUUUUGCUAGAGCUCUGUUUCGUGAUAUAUAUAGAUUUUGCAAAAAAAAAAAAAAGCAGCAAUACACAAUUGAUUGAUCGAGUUAGUAAUGGGAAGUUGGGCAAUUCCAUGCUCUACGAACUGAAGCUGGGUUCGUAAAGUGUUCAUUAUAACAAAAGAAGUGUUAGGAGCAUUAUGUUAGUGUUGACCAACACAGCAAAAGAAAGUGAUCAUUGCAGUCGAUACCAUACUUUUUUUUACUGAUCACUGGAUCUGUGUGUUCUCCUUUAUAGCUUAGAAUGUUAUUUGUUCCAGCUGCAGAUUAGGUAGAAACGACUUAUUUGUCUCAGGAUCACUCUAAUAUCUUAUAAAUUUUUCUGUUAUCCUUUUCUAAGCAAGCAAACAUUAUUGAUGCAAGACUGCAGGGCAAACAAGGAUAUCAAUUUAUUACUUAACGUUCAAAAUUGGUGAGUAUAUACUAUACGUGAGUAUGAGAGGGCUACGAGGUGUGUGCUGUGAUUAAUAGCAUACGUCCAGUACAUAUUCUAGAAUGAGAAACCUCGUGUUCAGUCGGAGAAAAUGACUGCUGGUUGUGGAGCCAAAAAGUUAGCCCAUGUGUGUGUGGGUCGUUGCCCCUAGCUGGACUCCGGUAAGAUGAUCAAACUCCAGCCCUUACAUACUGUGAUUGAUUUUUGAUUUUUUUUUGGUUCGUACUGGUUCUUGAUUGUUCCUGGUUUGCUGGCCCUUUGUUUCGUUCGUCCGUACUGUUCAUCUGCCCCGCUAGCAAAUGCUUUCAGUUGUAUGCAAUAGCAUCCUGGUAUCAACUCCUGGCUGUUUGACCAAAAGAGCUUGUAACUUCUGUCAGCUCUGCGCACAAAGGCCGCAUGUGCUCUUGCGUGCUGGUAAAUGGCAACCCCACUAUUUCUCCACAACCUGUUUGAUUGAAAGACUUUCAUGAUUUGCAAGUUGUGUAGUGUUGCCAGGGUAGUGUUCGACAAAAUUGUUAGCAUCACAAACUUAGUUACUAAGUUGUGUGCUCGUACUCAUUUAUUUUGAGACUUGAGAUUGUCCCAGGUUCUUCAGUAUAGAGCUUCAUGCAAGUGUUUGGUUGUUCUGAUCAUGUCACUGGAACUGAUGAAAUUUUGCUUCCAUGACUCCAUGAGGCCUCUACUUCACAAGUUUUAUGCGAAGUGCAACAAAUUUAGGCUGCACAAGCUAUGCAUGUCAAUAUAUGUGCUCAAUUUGUUGGAAAUUCAAGCAUUGUUCCCAUAGCUAAGAUGAGAGAAGGGUUGACAGGAAAAACUAAGCAGCAUCACGUUUUGUAUAAAAUAGUACCUCUUCUUUCUUUUUGCGAUGUAAAACAGUAGCUAACCGAACUAUUGUGCACUAAUAGUUCCAAUCUACCAAGCCACUAUUCUUUGUACCAAAAAAUAUGGUAUGCACAAUGCAACGCACCAACGCUUGCAGCUGUGUUAUGUGCCAUCUCCGCAACUUCUGGUCUAGAAACUCUCGAUCUAAGAUCAACAUUCCUUGCUUAAUUUAACAAUGACACUAGAAAGAGGUAUGGGGUACAUUAUACCAAUGCUUCUGGUAUGCUUCUGAAUCAAUUCUCUUGAUCUAAGAUCAACACUUCAUGCUUCUUUCUACAAGUUCAGUAGUUAUAUGCUUGUAAUAUACUGAAACUUGUAUGUUGAGCUGCAGUUCCAAUAUUACACACAUUUAGUCUUGACUAAUUCAUGCUUGUUAUCAGCCUUCACCUCUCCAUUGUAGCUGCACGUACUUGAGUCUUUACCGUGAAGCAGCAAGGAUGUAUCUGGGUUAAAGUUGGGGCUUAUUGAAAGAAUUGUUAAUGGGGCAUCAAUAUACUUUGUGGAAUGUGGGCAUCAAUAUACUUUGUGCAGUGUGGGCAGUCUGGAUGGCAAGAAACAAAAAAGCAUGAUGAGUAUUACACAUGCCUAUAAAUGGGUGGGAAACAUGGCAUCAGGUUUGAUGGACGGCUAGAUCAUGGUUGAAGGAGGAAUGACUACCUAUAGUCAUCAAGUGGAGUCGUUGCCCCAUGUUGAUGCAUCUUUUAACCCAGAAACACAACAGGGUGAAGGGAGUAAUUGUACGAGAUGAAUUAGGUCAUGUGAUUGAUGUAAUGAGCAGAUGGUAUGAUGUACUCCCAAAUCUCAUAUCUGGUGAGGCUUAUGCUUGUUGAAAUGGUAUUGACAUGAUAUGUAGCAUGAACAUGCUGAAAGUGAUAAUGGAGACCGACAGCCUGAAGUUAGCUCUCUUGUGGAAGAGUUCGCGGUGUAUCAAAUUCAGGAGUCAAGUAGACCAUGUACUUGUUUUGAUGUAUGUCAUGUAAAGAAGGAGGCUAACAUGGCAACUCAUUAUGGAGCCAAAUUAGACUCUCCAUCCAAUGUUCUAACCGUUGGAUUAAGUGUUGGAGAACUGAUAUGAGAAA